rnacentral:tRNA from 1 species
AGCCGUUUAGCUAUAAAAGUAAAUGUUUUGAAAACAUUUGAAAAGGACUACUUAGUGGCUU